GGUCAGUCUGUGGGAAGGAAAGGCCGGAAGUGACUCCUGCCGUAGCUGCGGCAGGCCUGGAGGCCGUACUGGGACCUGGCCAAAGACCCAGAAGUCCAGCUUUGAAGAAAACCUGGAGAAAGAGAGAGUCACAAAUCAUCUCCAUACUGCAGGAGACGCAGAAAUGGCAGAAGGUACUUGGAUCAGGUGUAAAUAAAUAACGAUAUACCUUGCUUGUUGACCUGGGACUCAGCAAUGUCAGCCCGUUCCUCGGCCUCCUCCAGCUCGUGCUGGAUCCUGCGGAAUUUGGAGAGGUUGACGUUGGAUUGUUCCUCCUGUGAAUGGAAAUCCAUUUAUGAGGGAAGAAAGUUCAGAAUUUUUCCAUUCUUAGGGCGGCACAGGCAGCAUUUGUCCUCUCAACAUCAAUCAUGAGGUCCUCAACUUCAUUCUGGAGCCUCUGCUUCGUCUUCUCAAGGGAAGCACAUUUGGCAUUCACAGCUUCUACG